AGGAGAAAAGAAAGAAAGGGAGGAAGAAGGGAGGAAAGGGCACACGCACCGCGCACGCAUCCACACCCGCACACGCACACACAGCCACAUAGAGGCACGGGGACACACACACUCACACGCACACGCGGGCACACGCACACGCGCGCUCACACACACCCCACACGCACACGCACUCACACACACCCGGCCCCGCGCCGCCGCCGAGUCAGGAUUCAAUGAUUCAACAGCGAUCGCCCUAAUGACAACAGCCUCAUAAUAUCUCCCCUAAAUCCACAAGGGAAGACUAGUACAAAGAAAAUUCACUGUAUAAACAUCCUGCCCAAGAAAGGAAGGUUCGCCCAUACUCCAUCUACAGGAUUUAGUCCUUUGUAGCCACAUACAGUGUGCAACAGAACCAUUUGGAAAAAUUCAUCUAUCAAGUUUAACAACUUUUUGGUGUAACUUCAGAGAGGUUUAUUGCUUAUUCAUGUGGAAGUGAGCACAGUGGCAAUGCCAGCACCAUGCAGCAGAUUGUGUCCUGACUGCAGCUACCCUGGAGCCUGAAUCCUCAUCUCAGCUCUCCUGCAGCUACCCUGGAGCCUGAAUCCUCAUCCCAGCUCUCCUGCAGCUACCCUAGCCUGAAUCCUCAUCCCAGCUCUAAAGCCGUGCACACAGGAUUGGUGUUUGGUACAACAAAGACAGAAGCAGGAGACAGAACAGUGCAAGACCCAGUACAAAUCUAUAGCCUAAGUGGUACAGCCCUCCCAAUAUUCUUAACUUUUGUACAAAAUGCCCCCUGGAGACACGUUUACAGAGUUGCCAUUUCAGCAAAUGACAUUUUGCAUAUUCUUUGGAGAUGCCACAUAGGUAAUGCAGUCAUACCUAGCUCAAAGUGACCAUGUGAAUUGAACAUGACUCAGCUGCUCUCUGGAUUACACACACAGGGUAUUUUAUGUCAGCAGACAGUAAGAGGAGCUGAAGUGGGGCUAGAAAACGUCGAAAAGACAUCUUCCCUUCAGCACUGCCAUUUUGGUGAUGCUGCCAUGUUCUAUGCAGGUAGCAGCUUAUACUGGUGCAUGUGGAGAUCAGCUUUGUAACAGCAGAAUUUUUUUGUAAAAACCAAUAUUUCUCUCUUCACUGUGUUUCACCAGAAUUAAUACUCAGAAGGUAUUAAGGAAAUGUUCUAAAAGCUGUAGUGAUAUUGCUUCCGCAAGCUCCUGGUUAUCUUUCUUCUCUCGUUAGGGCAUAUCAAAGUUUAAUAGAGCCCCAUAUCACUUUCCCCCUAAUUCUGUACUUUAAUGUCCUGUUUUCUUUACUGAUUUUUUUUACUAUUCCUUGUGAAUUACUGAUCUGAUUAUUCCCUUUGCCCACACCUACCUGCUGUGGUCUCCUUCCUCAUGCUGGGGACAGAUUGGUUUAUUUUCUAAUUACCAGAAGGCUUUCUAUUUCUCUUUGGAAUUAUUUAAAAAAUAAAUUCUCUUUGUCAUUAAAGUUCCUGAGAUAUUUGAUCAUAAUUUAUUCUGAAGUUGUUUGUCUCCUUUAGACUUUUUAAAAUACUGUAAGUAUUUUACAAGUUAAAAUAUAUCUGAUCUCACUGUUAACAGCAAUCAGGUUUGAAGCAGAACCAAGUUAGGCCAAGUAAAUCUCCCUAUGAAACUUCCCAGCAUUCCACUGAUGCUCCAGUGCUUUCUUGCAGCAAACAUAAGUGCUUUGAGAAGGUUUGCUUUUGGUACAAAAACAAACAAACAAAUAAAGCUCCCACCAAAAGAACACAUGAUCUCCCCAUGCAUACUUGGGUUCAAAUUCCUGACCUGCUGUUUCUCUAGCUGCAGAGGACUGUGUCAAUUCACCCACAGCCUGGUAGUUAUCCUUGGGCAAGCUGCACUCCACAAUUCCUCCUGGAGGUGAUCUACUUCCUAUAACACAGCAUUCUUCAGAGUCAUUAUCUGAAUUUGCUUCCUCCUAUAUUGGGUGAGCAUCCCCACAACUGCACUGCAGAACUGCGCUGAAACUGAGCUGCACUUUCUAAUGAAAAUUCAUUUCAUUGCAAAACUCCCAAUCAGCUCUAAUUUGGAAGCCCCAGCUGAGCUCCUGCUGUGAUAUAUAUCAUAAGAGACAGAUCUUGCUGAGAAGGGCUGGCAGGUUGGAGAGAUGAAGGCUGAGAAGAAAAGCACAACAGAAAGGUGAAAUGGCUUCCUCAGAAUCACGCAAUGGGUCAGUGGCAGUUUUAGGUCUUAGUGCCAGCCACAGCCCAUGCUACCUCUCCCAUCCUGAGCUUACAGACAGACUUAGCUUUCCCUGGUCAUCUUUUAAUUAACUGGAUUAUUCUUGCAUGGAGGUUAACGCUUGGGUGCACAAGUUCAGCAGUUUUGAACCUUGCUGUUUACAAAGCAUCAUGUACAUAUAUAUGGCACCAUCAAAAACUUUAAAGUAACAGAUAACAAAGAUGUCACAGUAAAAUGCUUAAAAGCCAGGCCCUAUUCCACCAGAGUAGGCAAGAGGACAAAGAAUAUCAAGUAUUGUUCUAACUAAAGUCUGUCAGCUCCUCUGAACAAGCACAUGAUGAGAGAAUUGUGAAGACAGUGAUGGAACAUACAACAAAAUCCUGUUGCUUCAUGCUCUGUGACACGUUUGCUGUACCAGGAAUGAAACAGAGAGAAGGAAUUUGGUUUCUGGGAUUAUGAAAUCUAGAUCCUGGUUCUAUAACCUGCUGAUGAUAUGGGUUUCUGUUGUCAUUUGGAUGUGAUUUUAUAUUCCCUGUCUUAAUUAAUAGUUAUGG
rnacentral:lncRNA from 1 species